CGCGGCCUAUCAGCUUGUUGGUGAGGUAACGGCUCACCAAGGCGACGACGGGUAGCUGGUCUGAGAGGAUGUCCAGCCACACUGGGACUGAGACACGGCCCAGACUCCUACGGGAGGCAGCAGUUAGGAAUCUUGCGCAAUGGACGAAAGUCUGACGCAGCGACGCCGCGUGCGGGAUGACGGCCUUCGGGUUGUAAACCGCUUUCAGCAGGGACGAAAUUGACGGUACCUGCAGAAGAAGCCCCGGCCAACUACGUGCCAGCAGCCGCGGUAGUACGUAGGAGGCGAGCGUUGUCCGGAUUUAUUGGGCGUAAAGAGCUCGUAGGUGGUUCGGUAAGUCGGAUGUGAAAUCUCCAGGCUCAACCUGGAGGGGUCAUUCGAUACUGCCGUGACUAGAGUUCGGUAGGGGAGUGUGGAAUUCCUGGUGGAGCGGUGAAAUGCGCAGAUAUCAGGAGGGACACCCGUAGCGAAGGCGGCACUCUGGGCCGAUACUGACACUGAGGAGCGAAAGCGUGGGGAGCGAACAGGAUUAGAUACCCUGGUAGUCCACGCCGUAAACGUUGGGCACUAGGUGUGGGGUUCUAUCGACGGAUUCCGUGCCGUAGCUAACGCAUUAAGUGCCCCGCCUGGGGAGUACGG
rnacentral:rRNA from 1 species